GAAAGUGAGCGAGCAUCGCAGCCUCUGCGCUCUCCAAACUCAAUCAGAGUAGGCGGCAGUGCGCGCGCUCCACAGCAGAUGAACUGAGAGCACAAGACCAGCCAUGAUGCUCAGCCUGCAGCUGUGUGCGCUGGAGGAGAGCUGAGGAGCUGCGGUCAUGCCGGAGAAGAGCGCACAGUAGAAGUCUUCUCACUGAGGAUGGCAGGGAUGCUGCGCGCCGCAUCACUCGCUCUGGCUCUGUGAAACAGCGCACGGUGCCCCGGACGAGCCGUACGGCAGGACCUGUGUGAGUGUGUGUGUGUGUGUGUGUGUGUCUACAGCUCAGUGGAAUGAUUUCAGAUCUCCCCAAGGUGCUGAUACUGGGGGCCAUCGCCGCCGCCUCUGCCUUUGUGGUCACCAUCCUUAUCGUCUUGGUGUGUGUGGGGUGUCAGAGAAAAAGCAAAAGCAAACAUGGCCAAGCCAACGGAGGGGCUCAGAAAAAGGAAACGGCUGCUCUGCGCCAGUCCAAGCUGAACUCAAUGAGUAAAUCUGACACCCGCCUGCAUGACAUGCACAGGCUGCCCUGCAACGC